UAUUCCCGAGGAGCAUGCCUGUUUGAGUGUCAUUUGAAUUCUCAUCCAUGUCUUGAUGGAUUUCGAGGCAUGGCUUGGACUUGGGGGUUGCUGGCGGCGAAAUGCUGUCGGCUCUCCUGAAAUGCAUUAGCAAAAGGGGCUGCAAGUCUUUGGACGUGCACGGCCUUCGACGUGAUAAUGAUCGUCGUGGCUGGAGCGUCGGACAUGCAUGAAUGGUCCCAUUGCUUCCAAUUCCUAAUCCAAGGUCUAGAGUCGCUUAGCUACUAGUCAGGUCGAGAGGCCGACGAACGUUGGGUGGUCAAGGCUUGGCUGUUUUCGAAACAGGGCCUCAAAUCAGGUAGGACUACCCGCUGAACUUAAGCAU
rnacentral:rRNA from 1 species